rnacentral:rRNA from 1 species
GAAUUUUGGACAAUGGGGGCAACCCUGAUCCAGCGACGCCGCGUGGAGGACGAAGGUCUUCGGAUUGUAAACUCCUUUUGAAGGGGAAGAAUGCCCCUGUGAAGAGCAGGGGGUGACGGUACCCUUUGAAUAAGCCACGGCUAACUACGUUCCAGCAGCCGCGGUAAUACGUAGGUGGCAAGCGUUACUCGGAAUCACUAGGCGUAAAGCGCAGGUAGGCGGUUUGGCAAGUCCGUUGUGAAAGCUCCCGGCUUAACUGGGAGAGGUCAACGGAAACUGCUGGGCUAGAGUGUGGUAGAGGAAACUAGAAUUCCCGGUGUAGCGGUUAAAUGCGUAGAUAUCGGGAGGAAUACCUAUGGCGAAAGCAGGUUUCUGGGCCACCACUGACGCUGAGCUGCGAAAGCUAGGGGAGCAAACAGG